UACGUAGGGUGCAGGCGUUAAUCGGAAUUACUGGGCGUAAAGCGUGCGCAGGCGGUCUUUUAAGCCAGAUGUGAAAUCCCCGGGCUUAACCUGGGAACUGCGUUUGAAAACUGGAAGGCUUGAGUGUGGCAGAGGGGGGUGGAAUUCCACGUGUAGCAGUGAAAUGCGUAGAGAUGUGGAGGAACACCGAUGGCGAAGGCAGCCCCCCUGGGCUAACACUGACGCUCAUGCACGAAAGCGUGGGGAGCAAACAGG
rnacentral:rRNA from 1 species